UUAGCUUGCUAAUUUGCUGACGAGCGGCGGACGGGUGAGUAACGCGUAGGAAUCUGCCUGGUAGUGGGGGACAACAUGUGGAAACGCAUGCUAAUACCGCAUACGCCCUACGGGGGAGAGGAGGGGAUCUUCGGACCUUUCGCUAUCAGAUGAGCCUGCGUGAGAUUAGCUAGUUGGUGGGGUAAAGGCUCACCAAGGCGACGAUCUCUAGCUGGUCUGAGAGGAUGAUCAGCCACACUGGGACUGAGACACGGCCCAGACUCCUACGGGAGGCAGCAGUGGGGAAUAUUGGACAAUGGGCGCAAGCCUGAUCCAGCCAUGCCGCGUGUGUGAAGAAGGCCUUCGGGUUGUAAAGCACUUUCAGAGGUGAGGAAGAGUGCGUAGUUAAUACCUGCGUACUUUGACGUUAACCUCAGAAGAAGCACCGGCUAACUCUGUGCCAGCAGCCGCGGUAAUA
rnacentral:rRNA from 1 species